UCGAACGAGUUCUCGUUGAUGAUCGGUGCUUGCACCGAGAUUCAACAUGCCCACGAGUGGCGGACGGGUGAGUAACACGUGGGUAACCUGCCCUCAAGUGGGGGAUAACAUUUGGAAACAGAUGCUAAUACCGCAUAGAUCCAAGAACCGCAUGGUUCUUGGCUGAAAGAUGGCGUAAGCUAUCGCUUUUGGAUGGACCCGCGGCGUAUUAGCUAGUUGGUGAGGUAAUGGCUCACCAAGGCGAUGAUACGUAGCCGAACUGAGAGGUUGAUCGGCCACAUUGGGACUGAGACACGGCCCAAACUCCUACGGGAGGCAGCAGUAGGGAAUCUUCCACAAUGGACGCAAGUCUGAUGGAGCAACGCCGCGUGAGUGAAGAAGGCUUUCGGGUCGUAAAACUCUGUUGUUGGAGAAGAAUGGUCGGCAGAGUAACUGUUGCCGGCGUGACGGUAUCCAACCAGAAAGCCACGGCUAACUACGUGCCAGCAGCCGCGGUAAUACGUAGGUGGCAAGCGUUAUCCGGAUUUAUUGGGCGUAAAGCGAGCGCAGGCGGUUUUUUAAGUCUGAUGUGAAAGCCCUCGGCUUAACCGAGGAAGCGCAUCGGAAACUGGGAAACUUGAGUGCAGAAGAGGACAGUGGAACUCCAUGUGUAGCGGUGAAAUGCGUAGAUAUAUGGAAGAACACCAGUGGCGAAGGCGGCUGUCUGGUCUGUAACUGACGCUGAGGCUCGAAAGCAUGGGUAGCGAACAGGAUUAGAUACCCUGGUAGUCCAUGCCGUAAACGAUGAAUGCUANGUGUUGGAGGGUUUCCGCCCUUCAGUGCCGCAGCUAACGCAUUAAGCAUUCCGCCUGGGGAGUACGACCG
rnacentral:rRNA from 1 species